CCCGACUCAUGCCAGGACGACAUACGUUCAACUCUGGCCUACGAUUUACGACUUAGCGACGGACGUUCGGCUCAGGCCUUAGGACGGGCGGUUAGUGGUCGAAGUUCGUCUUGCCUACCCUAUGGCAUGCUACCGGCUAUCUCAACUAACAACUUGGGAUGUCGUUAAGUGUCCUAAUGUGGUACGUUGGGACUGCGACUCUCCGACCCUAUGACUCCACGACUCUAAGUCGCAACACAUCCUGACAGGCA
rnacentral:lncRNA from 1 species